UUUUUUAGAAAUGAAUUUAAUUCAUGCAUUUUAUUUAAUUUCUGUUUUUAUUUAUUGAUUUUUAUUUUAUGCUAAGAUUAAGGGGGAUUAGCUCUUUAUUUUAUUUUUAUAAUUAAGUAUCUUCAAUUUGGUUUUGUGGAUUUUAUAGUGAUUUUCAAUUUGAUUAUGUUAAAAUUUUAUUUUUUCUUUUGUUUAUUUUCUAUUAAAUUUAAUUUGUUUAUUGAAAUGUUUGCUUUAUCUUUGGUUAGUAUAGUAAUUAUUGUGUAAUUAGUAAAUUUUGUUUUUAUUGUUGUUUAUUUUGGGUGUUAAUUUCUUUUUAGGAAUUAGGCAAAGUUUUUAUGUCCGCCUGUUUAACAAAAACAUCUUUUCUUGUUAGUUUUUGAAGUAUGGCCUGCCCACUGACUUAUGUUGAAGGGCCGCGGUAUUUUGACCGUGCAAAGGUAGCAUAAUCAUUAGUUCUUUAAUUGUGAUCUGGUAUGAAUGGCUUGACGAGACAUAAGCUGUCUUAUGAGUAUUGUUUAUUGAAUUUGGUUUUUGAGUUAAAAUUCUUAGAUGUUUUUAUGGGACGAGAAGACCCUAUAGAGUUUGACAUUUAUUUCUUGUUGAUUUGUUUUGUUUGUUAUUUUGUUUUAAUAGGUUAAGUGUUUUGUUGGGGUGAUGGGAGGAAUUUACUUAACUCCUCUUUGUUUUUAUAUAUUUAUUUAUAUUAUUUGAUCC
rnacentral:rRNA from 1 species